GACGAACGCUGGCGGCGUGCCUAAUACAUGCAAGUCGAGCGGAUGGAUGGGAGCUUGCUCCCAGACCGUCAGCGGCGGACGGGUGAGUAACACGUGGGCAACCUGCCUGUAAGACUGGGAUAACUCCGGGAAACCGGGGCUAAUACCGGAUAACUCUUUCCCUCCCAUGAGGGAAAGCUGAAAGAUGGCAUCUCGCUAUCACUUACAGAUGGGCCCGCGGCGCAUUAGCUAGUUGGUGAGGUAACGGCUCACCAAGGCGACGAUGCGUAGCCGACCUGAGAGGGUGAUCGGCCACACUGGGACUGAGACACGGCCCAGACUCCUACGGGAGGCAGCAGUAGGGAAUCUUCCGCAAUGGACGAAAGUCUGACGGAGCAACGCCGCGUGAGUGAUGAAGGUGUUCGGAUCGUAAAACUCUGUUGUCAGGGAAGAACAAGUACCGGAGUAACUGCCGGUACCUUGACGGUACCUGACCAGAAAGCCACGGCUAACUACGUG
rnacentral:rRNA from 1 species